AUACGGAGGGUGCAAGCAUUAAUCGGAAUUAUUGGGCGUAAAGGGCGCGUAGGCGGAUUUGCAAGUCAGAUGUGAAAUACCGAGGCUUAACCUCGGUGCUGCAUUUGAAACUGCAAACCUUGAGGAUAGACGGAGAAAGCGGAAUUCCACAUGUAGCGGUGAAAUGCGUGGAUAUGUGGAAGAACACCUGUGGCGAAAGCGGCUUUCUAGUUUAUUCCUGACGCUGAGGCGCGAAAGCAAGGGGAGCAAACAGGAUUAGAAACCCCAGUAGUCC
rnacentral:rRNA from 1 species